GGGAAAGGAAAAACGAGUUGUUUUCCGUUGCGUUGGAAGGACAACGUAUCUUGCACGGGGCUUAAUUUCUUCAUUUAUGACUUUUAUUCUUCUCCUUCCAGUUCUCUACAAUUAAGAAAGAAAAAAAAGCCCAACUUUGACCCCGACGUGACUUGAACACGCAACCUUCUGAUCUGGAGUCAGACGCGCUACCAUUGCGCCACGAGGUCACAGCAAGCAUGCGACUUCGCAUCGCUAAAGACCUCGUUUCUCCAGUAUGGUCGCAGGGCUGGGAGGCUACGGAGGAAAAAUGCCCUCUUUCCUGAAUUCCAGCACCAAUUUAGAGCCCUGAUGUGAGAGAAGAGCAGGAAUUUAGGAUCAACUGUGAGUCCUGAGGUGCCAGCCCCCAGGCUGUCAGAAAAGCAGGAAGCCAAAGGCUCCUUGUCUUUCCUCUGGGAGGGAAGUCAGCGGCAAUUACUGAUUCCACCUCCAGGUGGCCAGACACCAUCAGCCACACAGCAAAGACACUGUGAGAACUUCAGAACCUGCAUCCAGAGUCUACUGGAAGGCUGCCCCACACCAAGGAAAGACCAGUGUCACUCUAUUUCUUUUUUUUUUUUUUUUUUUGAGACGGAGUCUCGCUCUGUCACCCAGGUUGGAGUACAGUGGCGGGAUCUCAGCUCACUGCAAGCUCUGCCUCCUGGGUUCACGCCAUUCUCCUGCCUCAGCCUCCCGAGCAGCUGGGACUACAGGCGCCCGCCACCUCACCCGGCUAGUUUUUUGUGUGUAUUUUAGUAGAGACGGGGUUUCACCGUGUUAGCCAGGAUGGUCUCGAUCUCCUGACCUCGUGAUCCGCCCGCCUCGGCCUCCCAAAGUGCUGGGAUUACAGGCUUGAGCCACCCCGCCUGGCCCAGUGUCACUCUAUUUCAAUAAUUUUUUUUGGCCAGGCCAGGUGGCUCACACCUGUAAUCCCAGCACUUUGGGAAAGAGACCCUGUCUAAAAAUGAAAACUUUUUUUAAAAAAUUCGUAUUUGUUUUUGAUUCAGGGUCUUUGUUGCUCAGGCUGGAGUACAGUGGUGUGAUCACAGCUCACUGCAGUUUGAACGCCUAGGCUCAAGUGAUUCUUCCACCUCAGCCUCCUGAGUAGCUAGGAUUACAGGUGCACAGCACCACACCCAUAAUUAAUUAAAAGUUAAUUUUUAACUUUUUUGUAGAGACAGAGUCUCACUAUUUUGCCCAGGCUGGUUGUGAACUCUUGGCCUCAAAAAUCCUCCUGCUUCGGCCUCCCAAAGUGCUGGGAUUACAGGCAUGAGCCACUGCACCCAGCCUCCACCGUGUUUGGACCCCUGCUCAGAUUUGUGGCUACACCUGUGAUGUCCUGGCCCCUAUUUUCCUGGGAUAUGGAACCAACCACUGUCUUGUGUUCUAUGACAGGGGCAUGACGUUAAACUACAGUAUGGUGUUGUGAUUACAUGAAGAGAUUAGAUCAAGUGACUUAUGCAGAUGUGGUUACAGGGUCCCUUUAAAGACUGGGACCCUGGCUGGGCACAGUGGCUCACACCUAUAAUCCUAGCACUUUGGGAGGCUGGGGCAGGCAGGUCGUUUGAGGUCAGGAGUUCAAGACCAGCCUGGCCAACAUGUGAAACCCUGUCUCUAUAAAACAAACAAAUAAACAACUAAAUAAUAAAGACUAGGACCCUACUUACCAGGGCAAGGACUAGGAGUGAGGCAAGCAUGCAGUUGUGCAGGGUGGAAACCCAUCUUAUGUAAAAUUUUGAUACUUUGUUCAUCAGAGAUUUUUGCACUACUUUUUACUUUUGGAAAUAUUGAAUAUUUUAAAUGUCUUGAUUGCUGAGUGUUUUGACAGCUCUUUGAAUUCUGCACCUGAGAGAGUUACUCAGUGCCUCGCCCUCCUCCCAGCUCUGCUGUUGCCCAGAAAUUGUAAAGAAUUGCUUCCUUAUCUUAGAGUUUGUAUAUACAAACACUAAACCUUAUUUAUUUAUUUAUUUAUUUAUUUAUUUAUUUAUUUAUUGAGACAGAGUCUCGCUCUGUCACCCAGACUGGAGUGCAGUGGCGCGAUCUCGGCUCACUGCAAGCUCUGCCUCCCGGGUUCACGCCAUUCUCCUGCCUCAGCCUCCCGAGUAGCUGGGACUAGAGGAUCCCACUACCACACUCGGCUAGUUUUUUGUAUUUUUAGUAGAGAUGGGGUUUCACCGUGGUCUUGAUCUCCUGACCUUGUGAUCCGCCCACCUCGGCCUCCCAAAGUGCUGGGAUUACAGGCGUGAGCCACCGCGCCCAGCUAAACCUUAUUAAAAACAAACAAACAAACUUCUGUAGAAUAUAGAAAAUUGACAAAUACAAACUAGGAUAAUUACUAACAUUGCAAGAAUAUGUGGAAAUAAAUAUUCUCAUGCAAGAUGGGAAAAGCAUGUAUAAAUUGGAACUUGCUUUUUGGAUUGUAAUAUGAUGAGUGUUUUUUAGAUGCUUUUGUCCAGGC
rnacentral:tRNA from 1 species